GACGAACGCUGGCGGCGUGCUUAACACAUGCAAGUCGAACGGAAGGGACCUGCUUUGGUUUGGUGCUCGAGUGGCGAACGGGUGAGUAACACGUGAGUAACCUGCCUUUGACUUUGGGAUAACUUCAGGAAACUGGGGCUAAUACCGGAUAGGCGCUCCUGCUGCAUGGUGGGGGUUGGAAAGGUUCGGCGGUUGGGGAUGGUCUCGCGGCUUCUCAGUUUGUUGGUGGGGUAGUGGCUUACCAAGGCUGUGACGGGUAGCCGGCCUGAGAGGGUGACCGGCCAGAUUGGGAGUGAGUGACGGACCAGCCUGCUACGGGAGGCAGGAGUGGGGAAUGAAGAACGAUGGGCGGAGGCAAGAUGGAGCAACGCCGCGUGCGGGAUGACGGCAUUUGGGUGGAAAGCAGAUUUCGCUUGUGACGAAGGGUGAGUGAGGGUAAUGGGUAAAGAAGCACGGGCUAAUUACGU
rnacentral:rRNA from 1 species